AUACAGAGAGCAGCACUAUACAGGAAGCACUGACUGUCCCAUGAUAUUAUACACACAUAGACCUGUAUUAUACAGUCAGUGCUCCCUGUAUAGUGCUGCUCUCUGUAU
rnacentral:miRNA from 1 species